rnacentral:miRNA from 1 species
UAGCGGUGAAUAGUGGAGUAGCGG